rnacentral:piRNA from 1 species
UGAAGACAGAAUCCAGUUCUCUUGAC